CAUUGUUUAAAAAAAUUAAUAUGAUAUACAUGAAUUUGAGAUGUCUCUAUAUAUUGUGGAAUGGUUAAAUCAAGCUACUUAACAUAUUCAUUACUUCAUAUAUUAUUUUGUUGAGAACUUUUUUCUAAAAUGGACAUUGCAUGUGCUGGCAGCUCGGUCAACAGGGGUAGGAUCAAUAAACUUAUGGAACUAGAGAAAGUGAAAAACUAAACCUUUUUCUAAAAAUCACUUAGCAAUUUUCAAGUACACCAAACAUUAGCAGCUAUCGUCACCAUGCUGUACAAUAGACUUCCUAACCUUAUUCUGUCAUCUAAUUGAAAUUUAUACCCUUUGACAAGUAUUUCCUCAGCCCUCACGCCCCAGUCCCUGGUACCCACCACUAUACUCUGCUUCUGCUGAGUUUGAUGUUUAUCUUUACAUGUGUACAUUUGCGGCACUCACUGCUUAUACUCCGUGGGGGGAGUUGGUCCACGCACAGAGCACGUCUCAGUUCCUUUCUUCACCCUCUUCUCUUCUCCUCCACCCCCAUCUCUUGAUCUCUUUCCCAUUUCAAUAAAAACCUGUCUUCCUACUUCUUUUGUUCUGUUUUGGGUUUCUCAUAUGAGGGAAACCAUGCAAUACUUAAUAAUCAACAUUCACAACAUUUUAUAGCAAGACUGGCUUUUGACAUGAUUAGAAGUUGGGGUUCUGUAACCAGGCCUCAGGUGUUUUGAGAAAUUUUAAUUGGGCAGAAGAGCUUGUUUUCUGACUAUUUUGAAUGAUGUUAUUUCUUAAUUUGCUCCACGCUGAAAAAAUAAAACCAAUGCGCCAAUAGGGCCACAGUGGUUCAAUGCAAGGGGAGAUUCAUUAUGCAAAUGAGGAGCCAGAGGAACUGGAUUCUGGUCUCUUCUCUGCCAACAGCCAGUUGGGCAAUCUUGACUUUAUAUUAGUUGCCUUCUUAAAAAACAAGAAAAUUAGUCUUGUUGAUCCCCUAAAGCCCUUCCUGGUUCUAAUAUUCAAGCACUGAGUACAUGAGGAAAGGCGACUGGGAAGGAAAAGGUGAAUCAUGUAAUGAACAAGCAUCACCCUUUCAUUCAUUCAACAAAUAUUUGGUAAGGCUUCUACCGAGCCAUCCUGUUGAGAGUUCUGAGAAUCUCACCGUGUGUCAAAAAGCUCUUGUCUUCAUGGAACUUUCUUUUUAGAAAGAAGUCAGGCAACAACCAAGCAAACCAACCAGAUAAGGGAACAAGGACCCUGAGAGUUGUAGGAAAGACAACUUUUUAAAAGAGGGUGGGUAAGGGAAUGCCACCUGUGAGAGAGUUAUCUUUGAAAAUAAGUAAUUAAGGUCAUAUGGAAAAUAAGUGCCAACCAGGGUGGUGCCUGCCUAUAAUCCCAGCACUUGGAAGGCUGAGGCAGGAGGACCACUGCGAAUUCAAAGCCAGCCUGGGCUACAUAGUGAGACCCUGUCUCAAAGAGAAAAAAAAAAAAUAGUGAAGGGGGAAAACAGGGAACUGGAGAAACUGAAAAACAAUAAAACAGAAAUGAGGACUGUAAUUAUAGGAGUGGCGCAAGAUUUGAAGAGAUAGGUGGGGCUGGUACACGGAGUCUUGUAAGCCAUUCUAAGUCUGGACUCAUUCUUAAGGGUGGUGGUGAAGUCACAGUAGGUCAGCAACAUGUACUGCUGUGUAGCAACUGGACUGGAAAGGGACAGGAUGAGUAAGGAGAUACUUAGGUUGUCAGAGGAGUACAGCUGAGCGACUGUUACAUAGGGAGAAAGAAAGAAAACAUACUCUGUAAUUGCUUGCAUAAGGAAUACUUCAGAAACCAGAGAGUUGAACUAAGAGCAGCAGAUGUUCCCGUCAACCAACUAGGCAAGAGCUGAUGGCAAGGACAAAACGUUUUGGAAAACUGCCUAGAGCAGCAAAUCUUGGAGCAGCAGUCGUAUCAGUACUAACCACAGUGCCUCAGCACCACCACAUCAACCACUCCCGCAUCCGUCCGGGAUACGCCUUUCACAGGGUAUUGCAUAAGUUACCAAAAAUUAAAGUCUUAUGUUUGGCAAAUUAUAAAUCAUUCUCUGCCUUGUCUAGAAUGUUCAACUUUCAUAUAUUAGAAAUCCUAGUCUACAUCCCAUCCCCUACUUGGGAUAUUUCUGGAUAGAUAAGGUAGGAUGUUUAUUAUAAAAUACAUUUGAAAAAUGCUGAUAUACCCACCCAAUUUAAACAAAUUCCUUUAAUCAAGACUUCUCAGACUUUUUGUUCUUUUUCCUCCUAGGGAUUGAACCCAGGUCUCUGCACAUGCUAAGGAUGCAUUUUACCACUGAGCUACCUCCAUGUCCCCCACAGACCUUUUAAAUAUGCAUUACCAUAAAUCUGCAUGGGGUAGGGAAAUAAAGCGUAGAACAUAUGCAGCGCUUAUCUGCUUAUGGAAUUCUCUUCACAGAACAUCUCGUACUACAAGGGUUUCAUAGACACACAGCGACACAUUGGUUUACAUACAUACUGAUUUUUAUAGACCAGUUUGUUACUUGACUCUGUAACACUGAUUCAUGUUCUGAAAUACCAUAUUCUAAGUUUGAAACAGUACGCUUAGAAACAAACUCGUGGAAUACAACCAAAUCAUGCAUUCAGAAAUCUCUAGCCACUAAGCAUUUGGUGCAUCUGAUUUUCCUAAAUGCCAUACAAACCCUAAAAAAAUUUUCAAUUUUUCAGAUUAAAAAAACAAACUAAAUACUUGGAAAAAUAUUUCUCCUAAAGCAGACAGUAUGUACAAGAAUCCAAAUAAGGUUUCUUUGUAAGGUGCAAUUUAUAAAAUGAAUUUUCUACAUCUAAAAAAGCAUGGAAAAAAAAAGACCAUGGAGUUUAGUUAGAUCUGGAUUUGCAUCCUGUCACGUAGUAGGUAUGAGACACUGAACCCAAAUGACUUGGCCCAGGAGCAUUUUCCUCAUUUAUAAAGUGCAGAGAAGAAUGCCUGCUUUGUGUGGCGGUUUCAAGGAUUAGAUUCAAGGGACCUGGACAGGAGCAAAUAGUGUCUCAAAAAAAUGGCAGCUUUUGUUACAGUUUUUACUAUAACCAAGGAAACUACUCAGCUACAGUAUAAUCCAAGACCCACUCUCGUGUCAACACUUGGUCAGUGGAACAUGAUCCUGAGAUAGAUGACUCACAAGGAAAUAAAAUCCACACACAGGCCAAUGGCACACUUAUUUCACUGUUAGUGAAGGAUACACUAACUUAGAUGGAAAAACAGAAUGAAAGUUUAGGGGAAAAUGGCAUUUGGCUUUAAGCUUCAUUUAAAAGUUAUUAAGUCUAAUUUAAAAGUUAUUCUUAUUUUAACAAUCCAUUUAAUAUUAUGUUUCUGAUUUUAAAAGAGGCAUCCUUGCUGAACUUUGGACGAAGAAAUGAACAGACAAGGUGACACUAGAGUUAAGCACAGGAAAUAAUAAUGAAUAAAUGACUGGAAAUAAAAUCUACCUUGGCUAGAACCAAAUAUUCAUAGAUAACUUUCUCCAAAGGAAAUACCUUAGAUCAUAAAGCAGCAGCAGCAGCUGCUCCUUUUUCUCUUUUCUUUUUGUGGUAUGGGGGCAAGACCCAGGAUGUAAUGCAUGCUAGGCAAGUGCCCCAUCCUUGGGCUACAGUCUCAGUCCAUAAUGGUUUAUUUUACUGACCAGUCCAAGACUUGCUGAAACAUUUUUAUUCAACUGCACCUGACUACCCAAAAUCUUAAUGAGCAUGCUACUUGGCAUGUCUUAUACUUGUGAGAUAAUCAUCUACUUUCUGAAACUAGAAAUAAGUUUGCUUCUGAUUUAAGAUUCAAGAAAUAAAAAACAAUUUUUAAAAAGUUUCAAGAAAUAGUUUAUAGAAAUCACCAAAAGAAUCAGUUGUUUAAAAGUCUUAUUUUUUGUGCACUGUACAGCAACUGCUUCUACAAAUAAAAGUAUGUGGAAGUUGGGCAUGGUUGCACAUACCUGUAAUACCAACUACUUGGGCAGCUGAGGCAGGAGGAUCAUAAGAGUUUGAGGUCGGUUUGGGAAACU